UACAGAGGGGGCAAGCGUUGUUCGGAAUUACUGGGCGUAAAGGGCGCGUAGGCGGCCUUCUAAGUCGAACGUGAAAUCCCUGGGCUCAACCCAGGAACUGCGUUCGAUACUGGAAGGCUUGAAUCCGGGAGAGGGAUGCGGAAUUCCAGGUGUAGCGGUGAAAUGCGUAGAUAUCUGGAGGAACACCGGUGGCGAAGGCGGCAUCCUGGACCGGUAUUGACGCUGAGGCGCGAAAGCCAGGGGAGCAAACGGG
rnacentral:rRNA from 1 species